rnacentral:rRNA from 1 species
UACGUAGGGUGCGAGCGUUAAUCGGAAUUACUGGGCGUAAAGGGUGCGUAGGCGGUUUGAUAAGUCUGAUGUGAAAUCCCCGGGCUCAACCUGGGAACGGCAUUGGAGACUGUCAAGCUAGUGUGCGUCAGAGGGGGGUAGAAUUCCACGUGUAGCAGUGAAAUGCGUAGAGAUGUGGAGGAAUACCGAUGGCGAAGGCAGCCCCCUGGGAUGACACUGACGCUGAAGCACGAAAGCGUGGGGAGCAAACAGG